UAGAGGCAAAACAAAUAAGAAAAAUCAGUCCUAGUAAUUGACAAGGAAAUUGAGAUGAAAAAGCAAAGGGAAAAAAGAUUUCUACUAUAGGAAUACAUCAACCCCAAGAAGGAUUCUUCUUACUGCAAGUCACCCUCAAAUUUUCUAGGUCUAUUCUAGGUUUACAUUAAAGAAAGAAGGGUUCUACAUGGCUACAAAAUAAGAAGAAGAAUAAGAAAAGAAGAAUGUCAAAGUAGAGUAGAAGAAAGAAACUAAAAAAAGAGAAGAGGAAGGAGGCCGCAAAGCAUGGGAGAGUUUGUGUCAGUCAAUGGGAAUUCUACAUGGAACAUUUU
rnacentral:lncRNA from 1 species